rnacentral:lncRNA from 1 species
UGUUCGUCGGCUUAAGUCUGAGAGUAUAGCCGACGACACAGGACGUCGUCGGCUAAAGUCUGGAACAAUAGCCGACGAAAAAUAGUUCGUCGGCUAAAAGCUGGAACAAUAGCCGACGAAAAAUAGUUCGUCGGCUAAAGUCUGGACAAUAGCCGACGAUGGUCUUUAGAUUCGUCGGCUAAAGCCAUCACCGACGACCCUUUCCCGACGACACUAUAGCCGACGAGCCUUCGUCGGCUAAGGUCUUAGCCGACGAAUUAGGAUAACAGGCCGACGAAAAUAUUUCGUCGGCUAAAGUACUUGUCCUGGUAGUUAUUUUCGUCGGCUAAAGUACUUGUCCUGGUAGUGAGCCUCCACUGUGAGAUGAAUAAGAUAUCAGAAAAUUCAUUCUCCAAACCUUGUUAUAUUUGACUUUUGUAAGCUAUUACUAUCAUUUUACCUCUCCAAAUCACCUUGCAUAUUGUGUGACGAUAUCAGUGUCUUGACUCCUGCUUCAGAUCCAGAUUCCACUCUCGCACAAGGACAUUGAUAUGGAGGUUAUGGACUAUGGUUAUGUCCUAGAAAUGGUUAUCAAUAGUUUCUUUAUGCCAAUCAAACAAACGGUCCAGCAGCUGAAGCUGAUAAAUGUCAGAACUGUGUGAUAUGGUGUGUCAAAGAGCUCCCACAGUACUACUACCACUACCAGAACAAGCAUUUUAGCCGACGAAAAAGUUUCGUCGGCCUGUUAGCUUAAUUCGUCGGCUAAUAUCUUAGCCGACACAGGCUCGUCGGCUAUGGUUUCGUCGGGAAAAGGCCGUCGGCGAUGACUUUAGCCGACGAAUAUCUUAAAUGUUUCGUCGACCAUAGUCUGAGACUUUAGCCGAUGAAUAAAUGUUUCGUCGGCUAAAGUAUGUAAUAAAAAAAAUUUAAUUAAUUUUUUUUUUUUUAGGAACAAAUAUUAAUUUAUUUUAUUAAUUAUUUAUUUUCGACGUAGGACUGGAAGACCCGCUUGUUGGGGUCGGGCUUGGGAUUGGAGGAGAGCUUCUGCUUCUUAAGAGGCAAUGGGGAAGCGGUGAGGGGGAGGCUGGUAAUGUUAGACACGGCGGCGGUUGCGGCGACGAGGGAGGCGGAGCAGGAGGAGGAAGAGAGGAGGGUCUGGUAGUAAGGAGGGAGGUUCCAGACGAGCAUUACGAAUGUGAGGGCGAGCAACGUGAGGAAGAGCAGCUUCUUCUUGAAGCAGCUGCUGACGAACUUUGCGAGUGGGGGUGCUGCUCCGCCGGGGACGGAGGAUGAGGGAAGUGGGGGAGAGGAGGAGGUGGUGAGUCAGGGAGUGGAGGCGGAAAUGGGGGAGAGGAGGAGGAGGUGAGUCGGGGAGUGGAGGAACCAGAUCGAUCUAAGGAGUUGGAAGAGGGAGGAGAGGGAGAGGAGGAGGAGAAGAGGGAGAGGAAAGAGAGAGGGAGUGGGUUUGUUUCGGUGGGGAAGAGAAAGAAAAAGUUAUUGGGUGAAGUUCUUGGUGAGAGAAAGAAGAAGAUAAGAUGUUUGAGGAAGAGAGGAGUAGGUUAAAGAGAGAGCUAAAAAUUUAAAAAGAAGUUUGAAAUUUUCUGAAAUUUUUGGCGGAAACAAUUUAUCCUCAAAAGUCAAAACCAGACUUUAGCUGACGAAACCUGUGAAAUUCGUCGGCUAAAUUAAUGAAACUCGUCGGCUAAAGUUCUUUGAAAAUUUUGAAAAUUUUCCCCCAAAUUAUUUGGUUUGCCACCAAAUUUUAUUUCGACUUUAGCCGACGACUUUUCAUAUAUUUCCGUCGGCUAAAGUCAUUUGAAAAUUUUCCUUUGAAUUUGGUUUACCGUCAAAAAAAAUUUCACCUUAGCCGACGACUUUUUUAAUAUUUCGUCGGCUAAAGUCUAUAAAUUCACGAAAACGCUCAUAUCUCCCUCUAUAUUACGUAGUUUGGUCAAACAUUCCACACGAAAACUCUCAUGUAAAUGAGACGCAACCACUUAUAUAAAAAUUUUGAGACAUUUACCUUCCGACGAUAGGGCUCCCCAUAGGAAAUAAUAACGGUAAAUAGGGUUGACCGCUACUAUCGGCACCGAAACGUUACCCGAUUUACGUGAUUUUUGAACCAUAGCCGUAUUUCAUCAUUAUGAACACAUCUUAUUUCAUGAGAUUUUUGAUAAUUUUGCUUCCUAUGUAGAGUUGGUUCACAAAGUUGUAUAACCUACUAAACAAGUUAUACAACAUUAGUAGACACGUUGUGAUUCCGAUGACUAAAAUUCACAAACAAAAAUUCGACCGUCAGAUAUGAUCAUUAUGACGAAAGAUGUCUAUGGUAAAAAAUUCAACUGGAUCUGACAACGUUAAGGGCUCGAUCGAAACGGUCAACCCUAAUCCAUCGUUACUUAUCACACGAAAACGCUCAUAUCUCCCUCUAUAUUACGUAUUUUGGUCAAACCUUCCACAUAAAAAACUCUCACGUAGAUGAAACGCAACUGCCCAUAUAAAAUUUUUGAGACAUUUACCUUCCGACGAUAGGGCUCCCCAUAGGAAAUAAUAACGGUAAAUAGUAGACACGUUGUGAAUCCGAUGACUAAAAUUUACAAACCAAAAUUCGACCGUCAGAUAUGAUCAUUAUGACGAAAGAUGUCUAUGGUCAAAAAUUCAACUGGAUUCGACAACGUUAAGGGCUCGAUCGAAACGGUCAACUCUAAUCGGAAAUAAGAAAACUGCAUUUUGAAGCCCUAAACGGACUCAGAUGGCCAAAAAGGCUAUAUGUCAUGGCAAUAGUGAUGAGUUUGACUCGUAGGGCCGUUACGCUUCCGGAAAGGUAUCACAAUAGUCAAUCAGACACCGAACGCCAAAUCUGCAGCAUAAUGAAUAAUAAGGGUAAAUUGCAUUAACCGCAACUAUCGGCACCGAGACUUUACCGGAAUACCGUGAUUUUUCAACCAUAGACGUAUUUCACGAUUCUGGUCAUAUCUUAUUUCACAACUUUUUUGCGUUUGAAGGUUCUACGUAUAGUUUUUUUUUUCUCAGAUGAGUUGUUGUCCAGAUCUGCAAAUAUAAAGCACUUUAGCUGACGAAAUUAUAUUUUUCGUCGGCUAAAGUUCACAGACUAUAGCCGAUGAAAAAAAUUAUUCAGACGACGAAAUUAAAAUUUCGUCGUCUAAAGUUGACCAAAGCCGACGAAAAUUUAAAUUAGCCGACGAAGAAAAAUUUCGUCAACUAAAGUCCACGUUAGCCGACGAAAAAAUAAUUUGUCGGCCUGAUUUUUUUAUUUUUCGUUCGGCUAAAGUUUUUCUUCUAGUAGUGUACUACUACACUAGUUAUCUAAAUCUGUAGUAACAAUAUUCUUGAAAUUAGCAAUUUUUCUUGUUAAUCAGCUGAAAGUUGGGACAUAUAUAUAUAUAUAUAUAUAUAUAUAUAUACGUAUACAUAUAUAUCAAAAACGAUGAAAAUGCACGUGCGCACAGUCCUUAAAGUGCGCACGAAGCUCUAUUUGCCACCGUCCGGCGCCGGCGAGGGCGCACCUCCACCCCAGCGGACUCCAGCAGCGUCCCUGACCACUUUCCCUCCCCGACUAGUCCAGAAAGUUUCAAUU